GAUGAACGCUGGCGGCGUGCCUAAUACAUGCAAGUCGAGCGAACGGACGAGAAGCUUGCUUUUCUGAUGUUAGCGGCGGACGGGUGAGUAACACGUGGAUAACCUACCUAUAAGACUGGGAUAACUUCGGGAAACCGGAGCUAAUACCGGAUAAUAUUUUGAACCGCAUGGUUCAAAAGUGAAAGACGGUCUUGCUGUCACUUAUAGAUGGAUCCGCGCUGCAUUAGCUAGUUGGUAAGGUAACGGCUUACCAAGGCAACGAUGCAUAGCCGACCUGAGAGGGUGAUCGGCCACACUGGAACUGAGACACGGUCCAGACGCCUACGGGAGGCAGCAGUAGGGAAUCUUCCGCAAUGGGCGAAAGCCUGACGGAGCAACGCCGCGUGAGUGAUGGAGGUCUUCGGAUCGUAAAACUCUGUUAUUAGGGAAGAACAGAUGUGUAAGUAACUGUGCACAGCUUGACGGUACCUAAUCAGAAAGCCACGGCUAACUACGUG
rnacentral:rRNA from 1 species